rnacentral:rRNA from 1 species
AUUGAACGCUGGCGGCAGGCUUAACACAUGCAAGUCGGACGAGUGGCGGACGGGUGAGUAAUGCAUGGGAAUCUGGCUUAUGGAGGGGGAUAACUACGGGAAACUGUAGCUAAUACCGCGUACCAUAGGAUGAGCCCAAGUGGGAUUAGGUAGUUGGUGAGGUAAAGGCUCACCAAGCCGACGAUCCCUAGCUGGUCUGAGAGGAUGACCAGCCACACUGGGACUGAGACACGGCCCAGACUCCUACGGGAGGCAGCAGUGGGGAAUAUUGAGCAAUGGGGGCAACCCUGAUGCAGCCAUGCCGCGUGUAUGAAGAAGGCCUUCGGGUUGUAAAGUACUUUCAGUCGGGAGGCGUUACCGACAGAAGAAGCACCGGCUAACUCCGUGCCAGCAGCCGCGGUAAUAC